rnacentral:rRNA from 1 species
CCUACGGGUGGCUGCAGUGGGGAAUAUUGGACAAUGGGCGAAAGCCUGAUCCAGCCAUGCCGCGUGUGUGAAGAAGGCCUUCGGGUUGUAAAGCACUUUCAGUGGGGAAGAAAGCCUUGGGGCUAAUACCCUCGAGGAAGGACAUCACCCACAGAAGAAGCACCGGCUAACUCCGUGCCAGCAGCCGCGGUAAUACGGAGGGUGCGAGCGUUAAUCGGAAUUACUGGGCGUAAAGCGCGCGUAGGCGGUCUGAUAAGCCGGUUGUGAAAGCCCCGGGCUCAACCUGGGAACGGCAUCCGGAACUGUCAGGCUAGAGUGCAGGAGAGGAAGGUAGAAUUCCCGGUGUAGCGGUGAAAUGCGUAGAGAUCGGGAGGAAUACCAGCGGCGAAGGCGGCCUUCUGGACUGACACUGACGCUGAGGUGCGAAAGCGUGGGUAGCAAACAGGAUUAGAUACCCCAGUAGUC